CGGUCAAAUCACUCUGAAACACCGGUUCUCGUACGAUCACCGAAGUUAAGCAUCGUAGAGCCAGGUCAGUACUUGGGAACACCU